ensembl:lncRNA
GAUAUGGUCUUGUACAUGUAAUUGGGAGUCAAUAAUGAGUUAACCGCAUUAACUGAUAUGGGGGGGGGGGGGGCAUCUUAACGCACAUCAGCUAAGCACAGAGAGAUAACGUAGCGCGCGAGCUCUGCACCUACAGGCUAAUUACCCAUGAUUCAUCAGUCACUGAGCUCCCACGCUGGCUAAUUGAUUCCUGAAUUAAUAUUUGGCUUCAGAUGAUAAUGUCGUUGUGGCAUCUGACAUGCUACCCAUGGCGAUUGAACACUGCCUGUUUUUAAAUAUGCUAAUGGCCCAAGGUGAUUAUCAUAAACCCCAACAUAUCAACACAGAGGCACACUACAACUCUCACUCUCCGUAUAUGUAUAUCAACACAGAGGCACACUACAACUCUCUCUCUCCAGUGGCUGUAUGUGGUAUAUGUGUAUCAACACAGAGGCACACUACAACUCUCUCACUCUCCGUAUAUGUGUAUCAACACAGAGGCACACUAGAACUCUCACUCUCCGUAUAUGUAUAUCAGCACAGAGGCACACUACAACUCUCUCUCUCCAGUGGCUGUAUGUGGUAUAUGUGUAUCAACACAGAGGCACACUACAACUCUCACUCUCCGUAUAUGUGUAUCAACACAGAGGCACACUACAACUCUCACUCUCUCCGUAUAUGUAUAUGCAACACAGAGGCACACUACAACUCUCUCUCUCCAGUGGCUGUAUGUGGUAUAUGUCUGCAGGCUUAAAGGACUGCGCCUUUGUGUAUUAGGAUCACAACAUUAACAAAAUUAACAACAUUAACAACUUGCUUCUCCCAAAAAAUACUCUCAAUGAUGAAUGUCAAUGUGGGAAUGUUGAAAACCUCUCAAUGAUGAAUGUAAAUGUGGG